GUGUGAAAUCAAGUUUGCAAGCAGAUGGAUGCGUCGAUGCGUACUCGUUUUUUCUCUAGUGAAACCACUACGAAAAAACUAUUCGAAAUUGUAACACACGCACGAACGGAAGUGAGCAGGGACCACGAUAGAAACAAUAUUCAAUUGGUUUGAGUGCCGAAAACAACAGAACAGGAGGGGAAAGAAGGCAAGAACGACCAUUCAACGCGCUAGCGUCGGUGAAGUGGCAGGGGGGCAGGAACGAUCCUCCAGCGCGCUAGCGCAGCAUGUGGGAGCAGCGAGAGGGAGGCAAGCAGGAAGAAUUUUUAACGCGUACACACCAUUCGACGAAGACAACGCUGAAUGAAAGGAAGAACGAGGAGAGAAGGCAGGCAAUACGGGUACGUGUGUAUCCCGCACCGGUUUUCGGCAGUGUGAAUUGUGUGAGUAUUGAAAAGUGUAUGUGCGAGUAAAGAGGUAAAAAUAAAGAG